rnacentral:tRNA from 2 species
GCGGGAAGAGCUCGGUUGGUUUGAGCAAUAGAUUGUGAUUCUAGAGGUCGUGAGUUCAAAUCUCAUUUCCCGCC